GACGAACGCUGGCGGCGUGCUUAACACAUGCAAGUCGAGCGGUAAGGCCUUUCGGGGUACACGAGCGGCGAACGGGUGAGUAACACGUGGGUGAUCUGCCCUGCACUUCGGGAUAAGCCUGGGAAACUGGGUCUAAUACCGGAUAUGACCUCCUAUCGCAUGGUGGGUGGUGGAAAGAUUUAUCGGUGCAGGAUGGGCCCGCGGCCUAUCAGCUUGUUGGUGGGGUAAUGGCCUACCAAGGCGACGACGGGUAGCCGACCUGAGAGGGUGACCGGCCACACUGGGACUGAGACACGGCCCAGACUCCUACGGGAGGCAGCAGUGGGGAAUAUUGCACAAUGGGCGAAAGCCUGAUGCAGCGGCGCCGCGUGAGGGAUGACGGCCUUCGGGUUGUAAACCUCUUUCAGCAGGGACGAAGCGCAAGUGACGGUACCUGCAGAAGAAGCACCGGCUAACUACGUG
rnacentral:rRNA from 1 species